UGGGGAAUAUUGGACAAUGGGCGCAAGCCUGAUCCAGCCAUGCCGCGUGAGUGAUGAAGGCCCUUUGGUUGUAAAGCUCUUUCACCGGUGAAGAUAAUGACGGUAACCGGAGAAGAAGCCCCGGCCAACUUCGUGCCAGCAGCCGCGGUAAUACGAAGGGGGCUAGCGUUGUUCGGAUUUACUGGGCGUAAAGCGCACGUAGGCGGACUUUUAAGUCAGGGGUGAAAUCCCGGGGCUCAACCCCGGAACUGCCUUUGAUACUGGAAGUCUUGAGUAUGGUAGAGGUAAGUGGAAUUCCGGGUGUAGAGGUAAGAUUCGUAGAUAUGCGGGGGAACACCAGUGGCGAAGGCGGCGCACUGGACCAUUACUGACGCUGAGGUGCGAAAGCGUGGGGAGCAAACAGG
rnacentral:rRNA from 1 species